UAGGGAAUCUUCGGCAAUGGACGAAAGUCUGACCGAGCAACGCCGCGUGAGUGAAGACGGUUUUCGGAUCGUAAAACUCUGUUGUUAGAGAAGAACAAGGACGUUAGUAACUGAACGUCCCCUGACGGUAUCUAACCAGAAAGCCACGGCUAACUACGUGCCAGCAGCCGCGGUAAUACGUAGGUGGCAAGCGUUGUCCGGAUUUAUUGGGCGUAAAGCGAGCGCAGGCGGUUUCUUAAGUCUGAUGUGAAAGCCCCCGGUUCAACCGGGGAGGGUCAUUGGAAACUGGGAUACUUGAGUGCAGAAGAGGAGAGUGGAAUUCCAUGUGUAGCGGUGAAAUGCGUAGAUAUAUGGAGGAACACCAUUGGCGAAGGCGGCUCUCUGGUCUGUAACUUACGCUGAGGCUCGAAAGCGUGGGGAGCAAACAGG
rnacentral:rRNA from 1 species